AUUGAACGCUGGCGGCAGGCUUAACACAUGCAAGUCGAGCGGAGCGGCGGACGGGUGAGUGAUGGCUAGGAAUCUGCAUGGUCGUGGGGGAUAGCGUCCGGAAACGGGAGCUAAUACCGCAUACUAUCAGAUGAGCCUAGGUCGGAUUCGGUAGUUGGUGGGGUAAAGGCCUACCAAGGCGACGAUCCGUAACUGGUCUGAGAGGAGGAUCAGUCACACUGGAACUGAGACACGGUCCAGACUCCUACGGGAGGCAGCAGUGGGGAAUAUUGGACAAUGGGCGAAAGCCUGAUCCAGCCAUGCCGCGUGUGUGAAGAAGGUCUUCGGAUUGUAAAGCACUUUAAGUUGGGAGGCGUUACCAACAGAAUAAGCACCGGCUAACUCCGUGCCAGCAGCCGCGGUAAUUC
rnacentral:rRNA from 1 species